rnacentral:rRNA from 1 species
GACGAACGCUGGCGGCGCGCUUAACACAUGCAAGUCGAGCGAGAACCAGGGCUUCGGCCCUGGGGACAGCGGCGAACGGGUGAGUAACACGUGGGUCAUCUGCCCUCGGCACCGGAAUAGCCCGGGGAAACCCGGAUUAAUGCCGGAUGGCCCGGCUGCUCUACGGGGCGGUCGGAAAAGGUAGCUUCGGCCUCCGGCCGAGGAUGAGCCCGCGGCGGAUUAGCUAGUUGGUGGGGUAACGGCCCACCGAGGCGACGAUCCGUAGCUGGUCUGAGAGGACGAUCAGCCACACUGGGACUGAGACACGGCCCAGACUCCUACGGGAGGCAGCAGUGGGGAAUCUUGCGCAAUGGGCGAAAGCCUGACGCAGCGACGCCGCGUGAGGGAAGAAGGCUUUCGGGUUGUAAACCUCUUUCAGGAGGGACGAAGCCACUCGGGUGAAUAGCCCAGAGGGUGACGGUACCUCCAGAAGAAGCCCCGGCUAACUACGUGCCAGCAGCCGCCGUAAGAC